rnacentral:sRNA from 2 species
GUGUAUUGAUCGACUGAUUUCCUCUGAUAUUAGAGAGCAUAAAUCAGGUAGCCAAUCAUCUGGUAAAACCUGGAAACCAAUAGACACAGGAUGGUAUUGAUAUCCGGUCCCUCCUACUCUCAGUUUGGCAUCCGAUAUUUUCACCUUCAUCACUGCUAGUGAUAGUCAAGACUGUUGAUGGAUUUUUGCCUCGUCUGAGAAAUGAGAUAAGUUUCCAAUUAUCAAUUGGGCCCGACAUACAUUCUCAUAAUAUUAAAUCUCCCCUUUGACCCCAAUAUGACAAGGAACAUAAGGCGAUUUAUCCCUCCAGACAAUGAAAGCUCCCGGGAGAAACAGUCCAUUUACUCUCGUUUUUCUUCAAUGGGAAAUUAUUGAAGAAAAUGCCGCGUCCUUUUUGAGACUCUAAUCUCGUUCAGCGAAGGGAAUGCAGUAUAUUUUGACCGGAGACCCGUCAAACAUCCCACAGUCGAUUGAGAAUUGUACUGUUAUAUCCUGACAUGUACAGUACAAUCGCCUCAGAUGCUUUAUCAUUAUCAUUUCCAAUGACGAAAUCCUACCCCUGUUUUAAUUACGGAUAUGAUGGCUCAUAUUCCCACUCCAAACCUCUAUCCUGCCAGCAGCCUUGACUCUAUCUACAUCCCUUGUCAGCCUGGUUCAUUCUAUUACAGCAAUAUACAGGUAGCAGUAUUGAUGUGCCUCUGAGGGUCAUUUUUUUGGAGCUUAUAGCGCCAUCAAAAGCGUGAUAAUUAUCUACAAUGCAGGUUUAUGAAUAGACAUACUUCUAUUGCCAAAACAUUAUAAUCGAUGAGUGAUUGUAUUCUCUCAAAGCUUCCUCCCACGAACAUCACUAUUUUGCACUAUCAAUCCAAAGAAGCUACAGUAGCUUGAAAAGGCCUCAAGAUAUACCAAAAUAUCAGAAAAAAAAGGAAAACAGGAAAAGAAAACGGGGGGGAAAAAAGAAAAAGAAAAAAAGCUAACUACGGUACAAAAUUAUAAUUCUCCCAGAUUUUCGCCUCAAUUGUGUUCACAUCGCUAGGCCGAAUUUCCUUACCUCCAGCGACUUAGCAGGGUUCAUGCGAGAAAAUUUUCAAUCAUACGGCUUCGUUUUUCCCUUAAGUUUAUCGAACGCCCAUAUGGACAACAUAUGAUACUAAAUAAGCUGGCCUGACAGAUACUUGACACUGCCAGGCCACUGAAAGUUCUAAAGCACUCCCACUUAUUUUGCGUCAAAUGUGCUUAACGGCAAAUUAAAAAUUGCAUCCUAUUAUCUGCAUCAGGUCUGCAUCAGAGGCUUGUGAAAGGCAGAUUAUUAAUUUUCCAGGUCCAAGAAAGCUAUACUAAUGUACGAGAAGCCCGUUUCUUGUCCUGAUAUACAUUAUUACAUUGUGGCCAAUAUGCGGGGAGUGGAUUUUGAGCUCUUUUACUGCCCAGGGGCUGUCGGAGACGUCCCUGCUAGAGGUAUCGAGAGGCCAUGAUAUAGUUGUUCGAUGGAUAAUGGUGUGGACUAUGGUGACAACCCAUAUAAUGUGCAAAUACCUUCGAUCGCGGCGUUCAUCUGGAUUCUGGCGCACGACGACCUCAUCUCCCAGAAGCACCACAUUGAAGGCGGCUGAG